ensembl:lncRNA
GGAAUAUCAUGUGGCUCUCUUUGUGUCUUCGUAUGUUUGAUUUCUUUCCAGGCAUAAUGCCAGACAGCAACAGGUCACAACACAUCUGCCGGCCUUGGGCAGUAAUAUUAAGAUUGGUGUACAGCACCGACUGUCCGAGGCAGCCCUUCAUCCCCGUCUAUAUGUGUUUUUUCAUACUCGUACCCAUCUUGUUGGCACUGAGCUGGUGCUACAACUGUUGCAACAUCGUUCUGUGCUCUGUGGCCAUCAUCUUCUAUGUUUGCUGGUUCAUCACAGGUAAUGUGAUGAUCUACUCCAUUUACGAACCGAACUACAAUAAAAACACAACAAAAGCCGAUCCAUACUGCAACAAGACGCUCUACCUGUUUGCAUUUUGGAGCACCAACCUGACCUACAUCCUGUUAGGUGUGCUCCUCUUGUCCUAUUGCUGUCGUAAGCAACGAGAGGCUGAUGAUGAUAACACUCGGAGUCUGCUGCGUGGAUGAAAAGAAAACUAAUAAAUAAAAAAUGAAGCUUUGAACAUGUUGGAAUUUGGCUUUGAUAUGUGUCUUAUAUAUGUUUAGAGCUUUUAAUAACACAACACACUUUUUUCUUUUCAGAGAAAUGUCACAAUUUACAGGUAAAAUACAAAGUUUAGUGGA